rnacentral:rRNA from 1 species
UACAGAGGUCCCAAGCGUUGUUCGGAUUCAUUGGGCGUAAAGGGUGCGUAGGUGGCGCGCUAAGUCAGGUGUGAAAUUUCGGAGCUUAACUCCGAAACUGCAUUUGAUACUGGCGUGCUUGAGGACUGGAGAGGAGACUGGAAUUUACGGUGUAGCAGUGAAAUGCGUAGAGAUCGUAAGGAAGACCAGUGGCGAAGGCGGGUCUCUGGGACGGUACUGACGCUGAGACGCGAAAGCGUGGGGAGCGAACAGG